UGAAUCACUGUUGGCAUCUGACAGCCGUCGUGGAGCGGGACAGAAUCCUAUUUCCUGGUCUGCACAUCAGCCCUCUCCGCCGGCGUCACCGGAACGUCCAGGAGGACUGGAGGAGGAUGGAGGUCGAGGCCCCAGGUCUCCAAGGGAUCGUCUCCUGGCGCAGUUUCGGCCCAGUCUUCUCGGGUGGCGCUGACUCCAAGGGCGGCGUUUUGCAUAGCAUGGAGCUCGAGGCCUCGUUUGUCUCUUGUCCAUGGCUAGGGAGACCCUCACGGUAUGGGUCGAACAGUUUGAGGCGGCGAAGAAAGACUCCAUCAAGUUUUACGAGAUACCGCCGUGGGUGAUUGUCAGACACCACGAUCUUUUUGAGAGGGGUAUGGGGAUGGGAACGGCUUUUUCCCGUCGACGACCUGAAAUACCUUGAGGAAUACUACCGGCGAAAUGCCAACGCCGAUGCUACUCAAUCUGAUACAACUGCUGCCGUCGGGCAACAGCAAGCCAUUUUUCCAUUGUUACUUUCCCGGUAACUCCAGUUUCUACCAGCGUCGCGAUAAGAAGGUUGCCAAUGCUACUCUAUCUGAUGCUGUCACCGGGCAACAGCAAGUCAAUUCUGCCAAUGGCGAUGACUACUUGGUUACUACUGUCGUCUAUCUGUGCCGCGAUAAGGAGGCUGAAUUGGUUCCUGAGUGGAUGAAGUAGGGGUAAGUGCUACCUCUGAUGAGAUCAGGCUGAGCACCAAGAUUCAGCAGAAAGUCUUAAGUCUUGUGCUGCACAAAAAGGAUAGACCUAUCACCCCUGCUGUUAUGCAUGGUUGUAUCAAGUGUAUCAUGAAGGAGGCCGAGUUGAUUCGAGCGGUUGAGGAAGGGGUUUAAUGCCUACCACCAUGACAACACCUUGAGCCAUGACAUUCGUGAUCAGGUGUUUCGUCUCAUGAAGAAAUACUUGCGUGCAGAUCCGUGCUCUGCUUCUGUUGCUACCCGUGCUGUCCUGUUGGGAACCACGAAGGAGGCUGAGCUGAUCUGCGAGAAGCUGAAGCGAGAGGGCCGUGUGCCCGUGUCUGCAAUGGAGAGAACGCCAUGAGCAGAAUCAUCCGCUUGUCUGCCUUAGAUAUGUUGACCAGCGAAAUGGAUGGAUAUGUUUUCGAGAGGGCCAGAACUGCUGGCUUUUGCUAUUGGGACCACUUGACCCAGCUGUAACAGACAUACCUGCAUGAUAUGAUCUUGUAAAUAUUUUUUUGUUGCUCGCUUCACAUAUAUUGGUGGAUAUAUACUUCAUUUGAUGUGAGAAAUAAUUUAUUCAUAGUAUGUUUUGAUCGAUGAGAAGCAUACCAAUAUCAUUUUCCUCUACCUACUCUCUCCAGGCGUAAAAAGGAACUAGCAGAUGCCGAGGCUGAAGUGCACGUGAGUGACUCACAUGGGUUAAGUAAGGCAAAAUAUUCAACCAAAGAAGAGUUGGAGAAGAACUUGAUAGCCCUCGACUUAACUGAAGGUGCCUGGAGGGAAGACUUGUAUCCUGAGUGGAGUAAUUAAGAAGAUUAGUGGUAAUUACAUGAGAAUGUUGUGAAAGUUGGCUUUCAUGCAUGUAUAUUUCAGAACCUUGGGUGAGGAUAUGGUUUAUUAUUUAUUUGAGGAAGUCGGAGGGGAGGCCCUGUAUGUUACAUGCAAGAGGAGCGGGUGGCGGUGGGUUAAAACUAGUGAGCAUACGGAGGUGCUAAUAAACUUAAUAUGGACGCUCGCAGGCGCCAACAAAGCCAAGAGAAAUUUCAACGUUUAGCUAGAAGUUGCCCAUCUUUGUAGUUUCGUCAUCCAUGAUGCAAAUACUUUGUUUCUUCCUCUCCUGUUGGUUCUGUGCAACAGGGGGUCUAUACAAUUGUCUCCAACUUGUUCCACCCGGUAAUAACACAUCAUCGAACACUUUACACUUUCAUGUUUCUGGCCAGACAAAUAUUCCAAAUAAGGGCAAUGAAAACCGUUGGCAGUUCGGUUUUGUCUCAGAUUGACUUAAUUUGCGGUCCAUGU